rnacentral:rRNA from 1 species
AUGGUGUUCUACUUCAAGGCGCGGCCGGACGCCGGCGACUACACCAUCUACAUGGGCGCCGACAAGAACGAGAACGAGGAGCUCAUCAAGUUCCAUGUGGACAAGGUGUCCUCGGCGCACGUCUACCUGAGGCUCAAGAAAGGCGAGUCCAUAGACACCAUCAGCGAAGGCCUCCUGGAGGAUUGUGCGCAGCUCGUAAAAGCGCAUUCCAUUCAAGGAAACAAGAUGAACAAUGUGGAGGUGGUCUACACGCCAUGGUCUAACCUCAAGAAGGCGACGUCCAUGGAUGUCGGCCAAGUUGGCUUCCACAACCAUCGGAUGGUACACGUCUUGACAGUGGAGAAGCGUGUCAAUGAGAUCCUCAACAGGUUGAAUAAGACCAGGGUCGAGCGCCGACCAGACCUCAAAGCCGAGAAAGAUGCAUCAAAUGCAGCGGAGAAGGCCGAGCGGAAGAUGCAGCUGAAAGACAAGAAGCGCAGGGAGGAGAUGGAGAGGGUGGUGAAGGAGCGGCAGGCCGAGAUACGGAGCUACAAGGGCCUCAUGGUUGCCGAGAAGAUGACCUCCAACCGCCAGAUCGCCUCCGCCGGCAAGUCCAUACAGGAAAUGGAGGACGAGUUCGUCUAG